UGUUUUGCUCAGUAGGUACAGAAGUUUGGUUGGUUUGGAAACUAACAGACAGCGAAGUAAAACUAACAGCAUGCCUAAUCUCGCAUUCUUCCUGAUGUUGCUGCUGAGCAUCUUCCUCGUUUUCCUUGCUCCCGUUUGUGUAGCGGAAAUGGAAAAAAUAAUAGAAGUGGGAAAUUCGGACAAAGGAACCUUACCUGUUUUGAAUUAAUUGCACAAGCCCUUAGGAAUCGCCGAAACCCGGCGUUGGAUACCGACACAGCAUCUGCGAGCCUGAUAUGACAAAAUGCAAUAAACAAUAUAUUUAAUCCAGCAUUAAAA